UUUUGUUCUUCUCUUUCUCUCUCUUGAACUACAAUGGUAGAAGACGUGUGUUUAUUUAUGCAGAGAAGGUGGAAGAACACAUCAAAGCUGUGAUUUUUAUCUCAAAAAAUCCAAGAGUACAGAGAAGGUGGAAGAACACAUUAAAGCUGCGAUUUUUAUCUCAGAAACUCCAUGAGUACUGAGAAGGUGGAAGAACACAUUAAAGCUGCGAUUUUUAUCUCAAAAAUUCCAUGACUACAGGUUCGUAAACACAAAAGCUUAAAUUUUUUUAGGUGUUCUGCCUUUAUUUUGUUUUCUGACUUCUUGCAAUACAAAAGUUUAAAUUUUUGCCUUUAUUUUGUUGUGUGACUUCUCGCAGUAUAAAAGUUUAAAAUUUUUUGUGUUACUGAACCUUCUCUAUAGUGCUCAUUGCUUCCUAUGCCCAACUUUUUGUGUUUUCGUCUUUUUUUGGUGGUCUAAUGGUUCAAUAUAUUUUUUUGGCAUGUUGUAUGCAAAGAAAGUGGAAGAACACAUUAAAGUUGUGAUUUUUAUCUCAAAAACUUCAUGAGUAUAGGUUCGUAAACACAAAAGCUUAAAUUUUUUUGGGUGUUCUGCCUUUAUUUUGUUUUCUACAUGAGUACAGGUUUGUAAUAACAACAGUGUUGAAGGUGUUGAAGAAUAAUGGUGUCAUUUUUUUUUUCCUAAUUUCCUUUUUUAAAAAAUUUAUGUUCUGCCAUUUUUGCUAUAAGAGUUGUUGCUGAUUUCUUUUUGUUUCUCUUCUAUUCUUUUUCGUUUUUUUUGAAUGAUCUUCUGUCAUUUUUGCUGCAUGAUUUGUUGCUGAUUUUUUGCAACAAUAUAAUUCACAGAGCGGUGUUGAAGAAUAAAGGUUCCAUCUUUAUCUAUUUUUUUCCCGGUUUUUUUGUCUAAUUUUUUGUGGUAUGAUUUUGUGGUUUGAUUUUUGGGACAGGCUAACGAUAGUGUUGAAGGUG